rnacentral:rRNA from 1 species
AGUGAACGCUGGCGGUAGGCCUAACACAUGCGAGUCGAACGGCAGCACAGUAAGAGCUUGCUCUUACGGGUGGCGAGUGGCGGACGGGUGAGGAAUACAUCGGAAUCUACUUUUUCGUGGGGGAUAACGUAGGGAAACUUACGCUAAUACCGCAUACGACCUACGGGUGAAAGCAGGGGAUCUUCGGACCUUGCGCGAUUGAAUGAGCCGAUGUCGGAUUAGCUAGUUGGCGGGGUAAAGGCCCACCAAGGCGACGAUCCGUAGCUGGUCUGAGAGGAUGAUCAGCCACACUGGAACUGAGACACGGUCCAGACUCCUACGGGAGGCAGCAGUGGGGAAUAUUGGACAAUGGGCGCAAGCCUGAUCCAGCCAUACCGCGUGGGUGAAGAAGGCCUUCGGGUUGUAAAGCCCUUUUGUUGGGAAAGAAAAGCAGCAGGUUAUACCCCGCUGUUCUGACGGUACCCAAAGAAUAAGCACCGGCUAACUUCGUG